CCAACUUAACAAAGCCCUGGCUGAGAUGAUUUAGAUGGGGUUGGUCCUGCUUUGAGCAGGGGGUUGGACUAGAUGACGUCCUGAGGUCUCUUCCAACCCUAAUCUUCUAUGAUUCUAUGCCCAGGUUGGCCUUACGGAAGUGAGUUUAAUUGGUGAACAAAAUGAGGAGGAGACAAACUAUGCUGCACACUUUCCACCCCAAAGUCCCUUUUGGGGAUUCAUAAAAGGAGACUUGGGAAAAAAAUUCUCAUCUCACCUUCCCCGACCCCAGCACAGAAGGAGCAGACCAGACUGAAGGAUUUUCUUUCCUCGGGGAAGCCAUCUGGCCUUGCUCUUGUUAAAGGACCUUUGCUCUUCACCUGUGAGUCCUGAAAGUUAUCAUGACUUCCAGUCCUCAGCCAUCAGUGGGGAUACCUGAUGUCAGCGCUGCAGAGGCUCCAGUCAGAUGCAUGUAAAAUCCUGUUCUGUCUCCUUUCCUUUUUUGUGUUACUUUCUGCCUUCUCCCUCCUUUCCGUGUGCUCUCUCUCUCUCUCUCGGUUGUUCACUGGAUCCUGAAAUCAACUGUAUUGCGUGCACCAGCCCAGUGAGAUACAGGCCAUCCAGUCCUGCCCUGUUUGAGGAAAACAGAGCUAACCAGGUGAUAUUCUGACCAAAAUGUGAGCCAGAGUCCAGAGCAACUGGUAGUGUGACUGACCUGCCAGCCUAAAGCAUCCAUUCAUGAUUGACCAGCCGCCCAGUUUUCCAAGAACAUCAUUAACAAAAGCUGUAUUCCCCCCCCCCCUUUUCUAUCCUGUCUCUCCUCCACCUUGUGCCUGUGUGUUUGUAAAAAACAGGAAAAGUGAAUACCCGUCACACAUGAGGACUGGGAGUAAAGUUAAUUUAACCCUUUCUUUUUCAUCAAAGAAGGGUUGUUGGUAAGAUGAGACUGAUAUUUUGCCUCCAAAAGGAGAGAGGCUUUAAUAUGUUUUGAUUGUUAUGCAUAAUUACUCAAUUUCAGCUUUUUCUUGUUUUGAUUUCUAGUUCUUUGUUGUGUUUUGAUCAAUAAACUUCCAACUUUAGAACUCUGGGUGUUUGCCAAGAAACCACACAAACCAGAAAAAUCCUGAACCUUUAUAAUACUGUUUCAGUACUGGAUAGUGAAAGGGUUUUAUAAAACCGUUCACUCCUUUGGCCCUUGAGAGCAAUAGAACAGUGUACACUGCUCAUCCCUUGAUUUGGCUAGAUUGGGGACUGAUUUUAACUCUUUCACACCUCAUCCCCUAACUGUUCAGCUUUUCACAUUAUGGGAAGGCUUUUGUGAAAUGGUGGGUGGUUUCAAACAGGAUGUGAUGUCAGUCAGAUGGGCAGAGGUGCAACCACAUAAGAAAAAAUGUAAGGUGUAAGGUGGGACCUGGCGUGGAAAAACACAUCUUGCUGCUGUACUGAAAAUAAUAGAGGGAGCAGAGAUAGGACAGAUCUCCUUCUCUGCCCCCUCCUGCACCAGUGGUUUCACCUAUAGGCCUGGUUUCAGUAAGGUCUCUUCCAGCCAGGUGUAGAUCCCCCCACCAAGUCCUCCCUGCCUGCAGCUCCCAAAAGCCUCACCGUGAACUCUGACAUGGUUGUCCUUUCUGUGGGUCAGGACUGAAGAGGUGACUCUGAGCUCCAUCCGUUCUCCUCCAUGGGAGGACAUUGCAAUUCAGGCUGAGUCGUCCAAGUGCAUUAAACCUCUAAGCCCAUCAUUGUUUUUCCUUAUGUCGAAUUCCUGAACUUGCUAAUUUGGUUAGCCUUUGAGUUAAACAAGUUUUGUAUUAAACUCUUGGGGCGGGGUUCAAUAUGCUACUGAAAAUCACGUGCUAAUUGCACUGAUUUAAACAGGCAUAGUUCAGCGGGCAGGCACUGUAGAGGCCUCAUACGUAUAGGCAUGAACUACACCUCCUGUUUGUCCUACAAAGGCCUCCAAUCCUGCUGAGCUGUGUGCUGUCUUUCUGCUGUGAAAAACCUGGGACUCGCUCGCUACUGGAUACUAAUUUGAGGCAGUUGCUGCAACAGGGAACAAAUGAAAUGCCUCAACACUGAUUCAUUUCUGCACACUGUGAAGCCAACCUGAAAUAUACAAAGUAUGGAGGAAAUUGCAGUGACCAGAGAAUCUAGUUUAAUGGGUGCUGUACAGGAAGACUUUAUUCUACAAUACAUUCUGGAAACAGCUGUCAAAUGUUACGUACAGGUACUGUAUAAAAUAGAAUAAGUUUUAUUGUAUACAUCAUGGUUCUUGGAUAUUAUAAGUAGGAUAUUAAGAAAUAGAUAGGAAUGUGUGAUGGAGGGUGAACAGUUUUUUGUUUUUUGUUUUUUUACAGAAUAACCUAAAUCUAAUGAAUAGCUUUGUAUUUCACUGCAGUUCAAAGCCGUCACUGCUGUACCUUCAUCAGGCAACAGAGCAACCAUGUAGUCACAAAUACUGGCACAUCUGUGUAUGGUACAAUAAAAGAGUGAGAAUCAUAUUUCUCAUACUGGUCCUUCUUGUGCUUCAUUUUGGCUUUUAUCUGUACAGUAAUACUCUCUGUGCUUAUUUGGUCCAUGCAAAGCAGUGUACUGUGUGCGUUACUUGUUAAAUAAAAAUGAAAUUCAAAUUAGAA